AUGCUCCCAAUUAAUUGUAUAAUUUUAUUGUUCAUUUAUUAUAUUUAUUACUUCCUGUUCCAGACUGAAACAAUCAUCCAGCGUUUGGAAAGAGCCCUGUCACUUUCAGGAACUACAUCUGUGGAUCCUCAUUUCAUAACAGAUGUUAUUCUGCCCGAGGCUCUGAUUCAGUGGGUGCAGACUACAAAUGUCAUCUGCCGUUUUCAAGCAGAAGACUUGCUUAUGAAGACCAAGCCAUUCAUUGACAAUGAAGGAAAAGCAGAACUGGCCAUUAAUGAUGACACUCCAAAGGUAAAGCACACAUAACAAGUAUAGUAUAUAGUACAUAUGUAUAUAUUUACAGUGAGGGCGGAGGGUGUUUGAUGUCCCGGGAAUUUUGCAACUUCUACUUCGAAAUCAAAGAGGGGUUUUCAGCAUACAUGCAUAAACAUUGCAUGUAUAUAUAUAAAUGUGUGUGUGUGUGUGUGUGUGUGUGUGUGUCUGUCUGUC
rnacentral:lncRNA from 1 species